GAUGAACGCUGGCGCCUUGCUUAACACAUGCAAGUCGAGCGAAGCGCUUUGGCGGAUUUCUUCGGAUUGAAGCCUUGGUGACUGAGCGGCGGACGGGUGAGUAACGCGUGGGUAACCUGCCUCAUACAGGGGGAUAACAGUUGGAAACGACUGCUAAUACCGCAUAAGCGCACAGUACCGCAUGGUACGGUGUGAAAAACUCCGGUGGUAUGAGAUGGACCCGCGUCUGAUUAGGUAGUUGGUGGGGUAACGGCCUACCAAGCCGACGAUCAGUAGCCGACCUGAGAGGGUGACCGGCCACAUUGGGACUGAGACACGGCCCAAACUCCUACGGGAGGCAGCAGUGGGGAAUAUUGCACAAUGGGGGAAACCCUGAUGCAGCGACGCCGCGUGAGCGAUGAAGUAUUUCGGUAUGUAAAGCUCUAUCAGCAGGGAAGAAAAUGACGGUACCUGACUAAGAAGCCCCGGCUAACUACGUGCCAGCAGCCGCGGUAAUACGUAGGGGGCAAGCGUUAUCCGGAUUUACUGGGUGUAAAGGGAGCGUAGACGGUUGUGUAAGUCUGAUGUGAAAGCCCGGGGCUCAACCCCGGGACUGCAUUGGAAACUAUGUAACUAGAGUGUCGGAGAGGUAAGCGGAAUUCCUAGUGUAGCGGUGAAAUGCGUAGAUAUUAGGAGGAACACCAGUGGCGAAGGCGGCUUACUGGACGAUCACUGACGUUGAGGCUCGAAAGCGUGGGGAGCAAACAGG
rnacentral:rRNA from 1 species